AGAGUAGCCACGGUAAUACGUAGGGUGCAAGCGUUAAUCGGAAUUACUGGGCGUAAAGCGUGCGCAGGCGGUUAUAUAAGACAGAUGUGAAAUCCCCGGGCUCAACCUGGGAACUGCAUUUGUGACUGUAUAGCUAGAGUACGGCAGAGGGGGAUGGAAUUCCGCGUGUAGCAGUGAAAUGCGUAGAUAUGCGGAGGAACACCGAUGGCGAAGGCAAUCCCCUGGGCCUGUACUGACGCUCAUGCACGAAAGCGUGGGGAGCAAACAGGAUUAGAUACCCCAGUAGUCCCUGUCUCUUAUACA
rnacentral:rRNA from 1 species